GAUGAACGCUAGCUACAGGCUUAACACAUGCAAGUCGCGGGGUAACAUCUGGUAGAGCUUGCUCUUCCAGGAUGACGACCGGCGCACGGGUGAGUAACGCGUAUCCAACCUGGCCCAUACCACGGGAUAGCCCGUCGAAAGGCGGAUUAAUACCGUAUGCUGUCAUUAAGAGGCAUUUUUUGAUGACGAAAGGACUGGCGGUAUGGGAUGGGGAUGCGUCUGAUUAGCUUGUUGGCGGGGUAACGGCCCACCAAGGCGACGAUCAGUAGGGGUUCUGAGAGGAAGGUCCCCCACAUUGGAACUGAGACACGGUCCAAACUCCUACGGGAGGCAGCAGUGAGGAAUAUUGGUCAAUGGGCGAGAGCCUGAACCAGCCAAGUAGCGUGCAGGAUGACGGCCCUAUGGGUUGUAAACCUCUUUUGUUUGGGAAUAAAGUGCGGGACGUGUCCCGCAUUGCAUGUACCAUUUGAAUAAGGACCGGCUAAUUCCGUG
rnacentral:rRNA from 1 species